UACAGAGGUCUCAAGCGUUGUUCGGAUUCAUUGGGCGUAAAGGGUGCGUAGGUGGCGAGGCAAGUCGGAUGUGAAAUCCCGGGGCUCAACUCCGAAACUGCAUUCGAUACUGCCGUGCUUGAGGACUGGAGUGGAGACUGGAAUUUACGGUGUAGCGGUGAAAUGCGUAGAUAUCGUAAGGAAGACCAGUGGCGAAGGCGGGUCUCUGGACAGUUCCUGACGCUGAGGCACGAAGGCCAGGGGAGCAAACGGG
rnacentral:rRNA from 1 species